rnacentral:tRNA from 1 species
GGGGGGAUAGCUCAGUGGUACAGCACUUGCCUAGCAUGCAUGGCCCUAAGUUCCAUCCCUAAUCCCUCCC